UCUCAUCAGAAAACGUUCAAUGGCAACGUUGGUCCACUUGGAACGACGUUACCAUCUCACAAUCUGGCCUCUCAGAUUGUGAGAUGGUAACAUUUAGUCCUCCCAUUGUUUUGCAUUGGCAUGUUCUCACGUCACGUGACUCUCAAGCUCCCGUCUGCGGAGAGGAAAACAUGGCGGAGAUUCCUUGUUUUUUCAGAUAAAAAUAUAAUUUUGUAACUUAGUUUGGGCAUAAAAAUACAUUCUGACACCAUUUCUAGCGAGAAAUGUGCUCUUUGCUUCCACAGUCUUCAGCCAGUUCGUGCUUAAGAUAAAUAUUUUAAUAGUUAUCACGCAUGUUUUUAUCGUUGCUAUGACGGUUGCCAUGCCACCACGGCGCAGCUUGGUGUUUAAAUCACAGUCCCUGCGUGGUGUCCUUCAGUGAUCGUGAAUGUUAUUCAUGUUAUAUAAUAGUAAUAUUUGAGGCUAGAUUACAUCUCUAAUGAGAAGGAUCCUGCGAGUCUGUUCAUACCGAGGCCGGCCCUAGUGCGCGACCGGACCGAGUGCGCGAGCGGACAUGACGUGUGGCUGUCGUAAAAACCCUAUUUGUAAACAACCAGUCCUUUAACUCAGCACUUCGUCAUAAACACGGCGCGCUUGGAAGACCACGAUGUCAUUCUCCUUCUGUCAGGUAAGUAGUUUAUUAUUUUUAAAGAUCGUUACGAUCUAGGUUUACAGUCCGAGUGCGGAGAGAGUCCGUCAAUCCACACUAUGGACGCUGUUCAUCAGCUAAUACGCCAUUGUUAGCCACAUGCUUCAGCCCACGGUAGCCUGUGCUACCUGGGAGGUGAAUACAUGGUUGUUGAAACCAGUUCAAGACGCUUAGCUCAUCAUUGAGGGACGCUACAAUAUAAAUAUAAACAUGAAUUUGAUUUAUGAAUGCUUUAGAUUAAUAAGGAGUGUAUUUCUCUACUAUUACUCCACAAUAUCAGGUCAAUUUGGUUUAAUGUAUAGUAUGCACUAUGACAAUAAUGUUUCCAUGUUAUGGAGUUGCGAUUCAUUUUAUAAAACAAUUGCUAUGUUCUGUUUUUUAAUCAAGGAGGAUCCAAGUGAAGCUACAGGAGUUUCAUUAACGUCAAUAACUUGGACCGAACAGUUUGUUUUGCUUGAUGAAGAGCAGGAAGGGCAGCCUGGAGAGAAAGAGAAGCCGGGUUGAGCCCACUACCAUCAUCCAUGUACCACAAGGAAGAUGAGGGAGAGAAAUGAUCCUACCAUUAAAGAGACUGUGAAAAGAACGUUGAGAACAUCACCACUCUACAGGAAGACACAGUCCAGUAAUGGGUGUCAGAAUUUCAGUAGUGAACGACAGGAAGGACUGAUGCAUUUACUGAGACGGGACGUGAGGGCCUACUCUGCGUGGUCAGAGUUCAAGCCCAGCAGGCUGCAGCGGUCCUGACAUAUUCUGGAACAGCAGCACAGUCUUUGGAUGACUCCUCUGAAGAUGAAAACAUGGCGAGUUCUUCUCAAGAGAAGCAGUACAGGUGUGCCUCAGCUCCACGGUCCCUCCUGCAGCCUCCGCUCCUGAUGCUAACCUCAUGUCUCCAUCACACCAAGCAGCAGACCUGGAUUGACAGACCUUUCUCCAGAGCUGCCCCCUCCCUCUGAAACCCCCCUCUCCAAAACACUAUUUGUGUAGUUUUUAAAGUAUUUUUUGCAUGAGAAUUGUUGAUCAUAACAUUUCCAGCAGAUGCCUUAAUGUAAUGUUUGUGCACAAUA